GGUUGAUCCUGCCGGACCUGACUGCUAUCGGAUUGAUACUAAGCCAUGCGAGUCAUUGUAGCAAUACAAGGCAUACGGCUCAGUAACGCGUAGUCAACCUAACCUAUGGACGGGAAUAACCUCGGGAAACUGAGAAUAAUGCCCGAUAGAACACUAUACCUGGAAUGGUUUGUGUUCCAAAUGAUUUAUCGCCAUAGGAUGGGACUGCGGCCUAUCAGUUUGUUGGUGAGGUAAUGGCCCACCAAGACUAUUACAGGUACGGGCUCUGAGAGGAGUAGCCCGGAGAUGGGUACUGAGACACGGACCCAGGCCCUAUGGGGCGCAGCAGGCGAGAAAACUUUGCAAUGUGCGAAAGCACGACAAGGUUAAUCCGAGUGAUUUGUGCUAAACGAAUCUUUUGUUAGUCCUAGAAACACUAACGAAUAAGGGGUGGGCAAGUUCUGGUGUCAGCCGCCGCGGUAAAACCAGCACCUCAAGUGGUCAGGAUGAUUAUUGGGCCUAAAGCAUCCGUAGCCGGCUCUGUAAGUUUUCGGUUAAAUCUGUACGCUUAACGUACAGGCUGCCGGGAAUACUGCAGAGCUAGGGAGUGGGAGAGGUAGACGGUACUCGGUAGGAGGUGGUAAAAUGCUUUGAUCUAUCGAUGACCACCUGUGGCGAAGGCGGUCUACCAGAACACGUCCGACGGUGAGGGAUGAAAGCUGGGGGAGCAAACCGGAUUAGAUACCCGGGUAGUCCCAGCUGUAAACUAUGCAAACUCAGUGAUGCAUUGGCUUGUGGCCAAUGCAGUGCUGCAGGGAAGCCGUUAAGUUUGCCGCCUGGGAAGUACGUACGCAAGUAUGAAACUUAAAGGAAUUGGCGGGGGAGCACCACAAGGGGUGAAGCCUGCGGUUCAAUUGGAUUCAACGCCGGA
rnacentral:rRNA from 1 species